UACGGGGGGAGCAAGCGUUGUUCGGAUUUACUGGGCGUAAAGGGCGCGUAGGCGGCCAGCACAAGUCAGUUGUGAAAUCUCCGGGCUUAACUCGGAAAGGUCAACUGAUACUGUGCGGCUAGAGUGCAGAAGGGGCAACUGGAAUUCUCGGUGUAGCGGUGAAAUGCGCAGAUAUCAGGAGGAACACCGGUGGCGAAGGCGGCCUGCUGGGCUGUUGCUGACGCUGAGGCGCGACAGCGUGGGGAGCAAACAGG
rnacentral:rRNA from 1 species